GAGUUUGAUCGUGGCUCAGGAUGAACGCUGGCGGCGUGCCUAACACAUGCAAGUCGAACGGAGUUUAUGAGGAAGAAGCUUCGGCGGAAUUCUUAUAAACUUAGUGGCGGACGGGUGAGUAACACGUGGAGAACCUGCCUCUUACCGGGGACAGCAGUUGGAAACGACUGAUAAUACCGCAUAAGCGCACGAGACCGCAUGGUCCUGUGUGAAAAAGAUUUAUCGGUAAGAGAUGGCUCCGCGUCUGAUUAGCCAGUUGGCGGGUAACGGCCCACCAAAGCGACGAUCAGUAGCCGGCCUGAGAGGGUGAACGGCCACAUUGGGACUGAGACACGGCCCAGACUCCUACGGGAGGCAGCAGUGGGGGAUAUUGCACAAUGGAGGAAACUCUGAUGCAGCGACG
rnacentral:rRNA from 1 species